ACCAUUAAAAUGAUAGACUGAUCAUUUCUUUGUAAGUGGGCAAACGUACAAAAUCAGCAGGGGAUCAAAUACUUUUUUCCCCCACUGUAGAACCCUUUUCACAGAGGGUUCUACUUGGAACCCUAAAGGGUUCUACCUGGAACCAAAAUUGUUUAUUUUAUGUGGACAGCCGGAGAACCCUUUUGGAACCCUUUUUACUAAGAGUGUAGGGCCCUACUUUUGACCAGUAAUAGGGUACCAUAGCACUAACAGGCAGUGGCCAUUUCCUCAAGAUGGUGGGAUUCUUUCUGUGCUUUGUUUCACACCCAUAUUCGUCAGGACAACAGUGUGGCUAGUUAUAAGCUUAGAAAAUAGCUGACAGGUGUUAAGCAACAUCAUAGAGAUGUAACAGCAGUCCAGUCAUUCAAAUAAAAGUCACACAUCAAUCUCUAUAACGUCUACAGUUUGACAGACAAUAAAGUUGAUAGGAGUGCACUAUUUGAAAGGUUUAUUCUGAAACAGGAUGUGUGAUCCGGUCUUAAACCCUGACCACACUAGAAAUCUCUCCAUGUGAUUGCAUGAACAUCUUUUAAAAAAUGGUUUUAUGUAUACAUGUAUCUCUCUGACGCUAAUUAGACAUUUUAUUUUAAUAUAGUGAUCACUUAUUAUUCUUUUUAAAAUAUCACCAUACCCAUGUUCAUCGUUUUGAAAUAAACAUGAUGUCAAGUAAAAACACUCAUUCUGUCUUUGGAUAAAGUGCACCCAUGACAGUUAAGGUUUGGAAUGUAGGCAUCCCAUUUAUUUUGAAAUUAACUAAAUAAUUCACUCUUUCAAUAUCAGACCUUUAUUACCUCAGACCUGAUAUUGUUUGUAUUUUCCUUCAAUUCUGAGGGAGUAAUCCUGAACCAUAAUCAAAAGACUACUGUCAAGGUGCAAGUAAUAUACAGGAGAAAAGUUACAAUUCUGCUGUUUUUCCACCUUUUCAAGUUAAAUGAAUGCAAUCGAACAUUUCACCAGGGCUGGGCUCAAUUCCAUUUCAAAAAUAGGAAUGUUCUUGUGUAAUACCAGAGGACACAUAUCUACAUUAUUAAAUCACUCCAUCUGAGAGCUUAAUGAGUCUUGUGUUCCUGGACUUGCUAUUAUUAUAGGUCAGAAGGACAAUAAUAAAUAUUAUUUCCACAACAUUUCAUGCAACCAAAAUAAUGAAAUACCUAGUAAACAUUACCAGAACAAGCAUUGUUUGUGACAGAUGUACUCAUCCAUGGGAAAAAUAAAUGAUAAUAGCCCUUUGCAAAAAGGCAGUUCACAUCAUGCUGUGGUGCCUUGAGAAUAUGUCAGAGAGAGAGAGGAAGAGAGAGAGAAAGGGGAGAGAGAGAGAGAGAGAGGGGAGAGAGAGAGAGGGAGAGAGAGAGCAAGGGGAUAGAGAGAGGAAAAGAAAGAGAGGAGAGAGAGGAAGAGAGAGAGAUAGAGAAAGAGAUAAAGAGAGAGAGGAUAAUAGACAGAUGAAAUAUGGCUAUUUUUCCUGUUUGACAAACCCUACUCUAAACAAUUGCAGGAGGAAAGUGUGAGUAUCCCAGUUGAAGUUUGGACACAGAUUUAUGCCCCUAUCCCAGCCAGGGACAAUCACCCAACCAUCAUAUAUCACUAAUAUGCAGCAGCAAGACAUAGAGAUAUAUGCAUUAUAAUUGUAAAGCCAAAUUGGAACCACUCAUACAUGUUCCAUACAUUGCCGUAAUUACAAGAGUAUGUUUACAACUGGGGCAGAAGUAUGAGCUGUAUGCUGCUUGGAAUACAUGCUAUCAUCAAUAUACACAGAUGUUUGAUUUACUGCAUAUAGUACGUUCCCAGCAGAAUAUGUGGAGGAAACAUAUAUGUAUCUGAACUACAGGUAUUGGGAUGAAGACAACAAAAACCUUAACAGCUUCUUUGACCAAAAUGGAAACAUAUUGUUCAAAUGGUCUGUAAUAAGGAGAGCAAAUCUGUAUGGUAACAUAUCCUGUCAGGACUUUACUUGGCAGUGGCACACGAUCUCUGUGAUGUGUGUUAUGUAGUUCAGGAUAGAGGAGAAACCUGUAGGCCACCACCAUUAGAAGCAGCAUGUUAAUAAGCCAAUGCAUACCUGUUGUUUCCUCAGUUUGUUGUUGAAUAUGAAUGAUUUCAUUCUGAUGGUUUAUAAAGGUCUCAGUAAAAGUAGGGUUAAAGCCACCUUCUGUAAAUGUUGUUUUUGUCAUGAAAUGAAUUGCAUCAUCACAUGAGAGGGCAGGUCUGGUUGAGCACACAGAAUGAAUAGCAUCUGGGGAUGUUAUAGGGUGUUAUAGCAGUAGGAUGUUAUAGGGCCAGGUGUUAUAGGAGUAGGAUGUUAUAGCAGUAGGAUGUUAUAGCAGUAGGAUGUUAUAGGGUCAGGUGUUAUAGCAGUAGGAUGUUAUAGCAGUAGGAUGUUAUAGGGUCAGGUGUUAUAGCAGUAGGAUGUUAUAGGGCCAGGUGUUAUAGCAGUAGGAUGUUAUAGGGCCAGGUGUUAUAGGAGUAGGAUGUUAUAGGGUCAGGUGUUAUAGGAGUAGGAUGUUAUAGGGCCAGGUGUUAUAGCAGUAGGAUGUUAUAGGGCCAGGUGUUAUAGCAGUAGGAUGUUAUAGCAGUAGGAUGUUAUAGGGUCAGGUGUUAUAGGAGUAGGAUGUUAUAAGGCCAGGUGUUAUAGCAGUAGGAUGUUAUAGGGCCAGGUGUUGUAGGAGUAGGAUGUUAUAGGGUCAGGUGUUAUAGCAGUAGGAUGUUAUAGGGCCAGGUGUUAUAGGAGUAGGAUGUUAUAGGGUCAGGUGUUAUAGCAGUAGGAUGUUAUAGAAGUAGGAUGUUAUAGGGUCAGGUGUUAUAGGAGUAGGAUGUUAUAGGGCCAGGUGUUAUAGGAGUAGGAUGUUAUAGGGUCAGGUGUUAUAGGAGUAGGAUGUUAUAGGGCCAGGUGUUAUAGGAAUAGGAUGUUAUAGGGUCAGGUGUUAUAGCAGUAGGAUGUUAUAGGGUCAGGUGUUAUAGCAGUAGGAUGUUAUAGCAGUAGGAUGUUAUAGGGUCAGGUGUUAUAGGAGUAGGAUGUUAUAGGGCCAGGUGUUAUAGGAGUAGGAUGUUAUAGGGUCAGGUGUUAUAGCAGUAGGAUGUUAUAGCAGUAGGAUGUUAUAGGGUCAGGUGUUAUAGCAGUAGGAUGUUAUAGGGCCUGGUGUUAUAGCAGUAGGAUGUUAUAGCAGUAGGAUGUUAUAGCAGUAGGAUGUUAUAGGGCCUGGUGUUAUAGCAGUAAGAUGUUAUAGGGCCUGGUGUUAUAGCAGUAGGAUGUUAUAGCAGUAGGAUGUUAUAGGGUCAGGUGUUAUAGCAGUAGGAUGUUAUAGCAGUAGGAUGUUAUAGGGUCAGGUGUUAUAGCAGUAGGAUGUUAUAGGGCCAGGUGUUAUAGCAGUAGGAUGUUAUAGCAGUAGGAUGUUAUAGGGCCAGAUGUUAUAGCAGUAGGAUGUUAUAGGGCCAGGUGUUAUAGCAGUAGGAUGUUAUAGGGCCAGGUGUUAUAGGAGUAGGAUGUUAUAGCAGUAGGAUGUUAUAGCAGAAGGAUGUUAUAGCAGUAGGAUGUUAUAGGGUCAGGGGUUAUAGUAGUAGGAUUUAUAGCAGUAGGAUGGUAUAGCAGUAGGAUGUUAUAGGGUCAGGUGUUAUAGCAGUAGGAUGUUAUAGGGUCAGGUGUUAUAGGAGUAGGAUGUUAUAGGGUCAGGUGUUAUAGCAGUAGGAUGUUAUAGGGCCAGGUGUUAUAGCAGUAGGAUGUUAUAGCAGUAGGAUGUUAUAGGGCCAGAUGUUAUAGCAGUAGGAUGUUAUAGGGCCAGGUGUUAUAGCAGUAGGAUGUUAUAGGGCCAGGUGUUAUAGGAGUAGGAUGUUAUAGCAGUAGGAUGUUAUAGCAGAAGGAUGUUAUAGCAGUAGGAUGUUAUAGGGUCAGGGGUUAUAGUAGUAGGAUUUAUAGCAGUAGGAUGGUAUAGCAGUAGGAUGUUAUAGGGUCAGGUGUUAUAGCAGUAGGAUGUUAUAGGGUCAGGUGUUAUAGCAGUAGGAUGUUAUAGUAGUAGGAUGUUAUAGGGUCAGGUGUUAUAGCAGUAGGAUGUUAUAGGGCCAGGUGUUAUAGGAGUAGGAUGUUAUAGGGCCAGGUGUUAUAGGAGUAGGAUGUUAUAGGGCCAGGUGUAAUAGGAGUAGGAUGUUAUAGGGUCAGGUGUUAUAGCAAUAGGAUGUUAUAGGGUCAGGUGUUAUAGGAGUAGGAUGUUAUAGGGUCAGGUGUUAUAGCAGUAGGAUGUUAUAGGGUCGGGUGUUAUAGGAGUAGGAUGUUAUAGCAGUAAGAUGUUAUAGCAGUAGGAUGUUAUAGGGUCAGGUGUUAUAGCAGUAGGAUGUUAUAGGGUCAGGUGUUAUAGCAGUAGGAUGUUAAAGCAGUAGGAUGUUAUAGGGUCAGGUGUUAUAGCAGUAGGAUGUUAUAGGGUCAGGUGUUAUAGCAGUAGGAUGUUAUAGCAGUAGGAUGUUAUAGGGCCAGGUGUUAUAGGAGUAGGAUGUUAUAGGGCCAGGUAUUAUAGCAGUAGGAUGUUAUAGGGUCAGGUGUUAUAGCAGUAGGAUGUUAUAGCAGUAGAAUGUUAUAGGGCCAGGUGUUAUAGGAGUAGUAUGUUAUAGGGCCAGGUGUUAUAGCAGUAGGAUGUUAUAGCAGUAGGAUGUUAUAGCAGUAGGAUGUUAUAGGAUCAGGUGUUAUAGCAGUAGGAUGUUAUAGGGUCAGGUGUUAUAGGAGUAGGAUGUUAUAGCAGUAGGAUGUUAUAGGGCCAGGUGUUAUAGGAGUAGGAUGUUAUAGGGCCAGGUGUUAUAGCAGUAGGAUGUUAUAGGGUCAGGUGUUAUAGCAGUAGGAUGUUAUAGGGCCAGGUGUUAUAGCAGUAGUAUGUUAUAGGGCCAGGUGUUAUAGCAGUAGGAUGUUAUAGCAGUAGGAUGUUAUAGCAGUAGGAUGUUAUAGGAUCAGGUGUUAUAGCAGUAGGAUGUUAUAGGGUCAGGUGUUAUAGGAGUAGGAUGUUAUAGCAGUAGGAUGUUAUAGGGUCAGGUGUUAUAGCAGUAGGAUGUUAUAGGGCCAGGUGUUAUAGGAGUAGGAUGUUAUAGCAGUAGGAUGUUAUAGGGUCAGGUGUUAUAGCAGUAGGAUGUUAAAGGGUCAGGUGUUAUAGCAGUAGGAUGUUAUAGCAGUAGGAUGUUAUAGGGCCAGGUGUCAUAGUAGUAGGAUGUUAUAGGGCCAGGUGUUAUAGCAGUAGGAUGUUAUAGGGUCAGGUGUUAUAGCAGUAGGAUGUUAUAGCAGUAGGAUGUUAUAGGGUCAGGUGUUAUAGCAGUAGGAUGUUAUAGCAGUAGGAUGUUAUAGGGUCAGGUGUUAUAGCAGUAGGAUGUUAUAGGGUCAGGUGUUAUAGCAGUUGGAUGUUAUAGCAGUAGGAUGUUAUAGGGCCAGGUGUUAUAGCAGUAGGAUGUUAUAGCAGUAGGAUGUUAUAGGGCCAGGUGUUAUAGCAGUAGGAUGUUAUAGGGUCAGGUGUUAUAGGAGUAGGAUGUUAUAGCAGUAGGAUGUUAUAGGGUCAGGUGUUAUAGGAGUAGGAUGUUAUAGGGUCAGGUGUUAUAGGAGUAGGAUGUUAUAGGGUCAGGUGUUAUAGGAGUAGGAUGUUAUAGGGUCAGGUGUUAUAGCAGUAGGAUGGUAUAGCAGUAGGAUGUUAUAGGGUCAGGUGUUAUAGGAGUAGGAUGUUAUAGGGCCAGGUGUUAUAGGAGUAGGAUGUUAUAGCAGUAGGAUGUUAUAGGGUCAGGUGUUAUAUGAGUAGGAUGUGAUAGGGCCAGUUGUUAUAGCAGUAGGAUGUUAUAGGGCCAGGUGUUAUAGGAGUAGGAUGUUAUAGCAGUAGGAUGUUAUAGGGUCAGGUGUUAUAGGAGUAGGAUGUUAUAGCAGUAGGAUGUUAUAGGGCCAGGUGUUAUAGCAGUAGGAUGUUAUAGCAGGUGUUAUAGGAAUAAGUUUUACAGCAAAAGGUAUUCAUUUAUGGGCUGUGUUCGAAAAAGUAUUCUUUAUCAGGAGCUGAAUGAAAGUACGAGAUGGAGUUACAUGAUGGAGAUAGAUAGAAACACAGACACCUGUUCUAAUUAGACAUGCAGCACUACUUAUAGCAUUGCCAGAACCCUAACAAUUCAGUCUGUCAUCAAGAAACUCUUAUUCUGUAUGUGAUCGACACAGGCCAUCACAGAGCUGAGAAUCUACAGCAACCCAAACUUCUGAAUCUAGUAAACAGAUUAUGUUGCUGGGAGACUACUACAUAAACAGGCCAUCUUUUGUGUGGUAGUAUUUGGUGUGAAUUUCCCCCCUAUGUUCCUAUAGCGAUGUGAAAGGAAUGUGUUAAUUAUUUCUUUAUACAUAUGGCACAACCAUUUGAGCCUGGUUAGUGUUUGUGCACACAGGAUUCAAAGACACUUAUAAACAGGGACUGUAUAAAUCAACAACAUGGUAUCACGUCACUAUAGAAAGACACACAGAUUGUAUAAACAUACAAACAUACAUACAUGUACUGUAGUAGUACAUAGACAUCAUUACAAUGACUUCAUCAUUUUCUCCUCGUCUUUUCUUUGCGUAUACACUUGUAUAUUGUACACAUUAGGAUACAGUUGGUGAGAAGGGUUUAGACAAAUAGGUAGAUAGAGUAACGGAACUGCACUUUUUUUCUUUACAGAAAAAAAAAAUUCAACAUUCAAUUAUAAUUGUUAGAGU
rnacentral:lncRNA from 1 species